rnacentral:lncRNA from 1 species
CUGCUUUAAAAAAAAUCCUAUAAUGCGAGUGAAAAGAAAGAUUUUCUGAGCCACUGCUCCUGCACGAGGGAAUCCUCACCAGACUGGGAAGGCAAGGAGAAGCACACCCUGACUGUGGCCCACACCUAUGGGGGCUAUUGUUCAUGACAGCGCUUUGGCUCUUUCCGCCAUCCGUUCGAGAGCAUUCAGUUUCCUCGACCCACAGAUGGUAAGUGUCCCCUGGCAACCAAAAGCUUGCAAACUGCCCCCAACUCCCCUCUUCAGCGUUCCCAGCAUCACUAUGGUCUUUUCAGUGA